CUUAGGGCCCGGAGGACGUUGGGCCUCUGUGAGCAGCAACCUUUCCUAGGGAGUGGCUGGGUGAUGGCCAUGUUAGGGAAAAGAUGUUCUCGUCCGUGGCGCGCUUGGUGCAGGCGAACCCCUUCCACGUGCCUCAUCUGCAGCUGGUGCACGACGGCCUCGCGGACCUCCGCAGCAGCCCUCCGGGGCCCACAGGCCAGCCCCGCCGCCCUCGCAAGCUGGCAGCCACUGCCGUGGAAGAGUACAGUUGUGAAUUUGGCUCCGCGAAGUAUUAUGCACUGUGUGGCUUUGGUGGGGUCUUAAGUUGUGGUCUGACACACACCGCUGUCGUUCCCCUGGAUUUAGUGAAAUGCCGUAUGCAGGUGGACCCCCAAAAGUACAAGGGCAUAUUUAACGGAUCCUCAGUUACACUUAAGGAGGAUGGUGUUGGUGGUUUGGCCAAAGGAUAGGCUCUGACUUUCAUUGGCUACUCCCUGAAGGGCUCUGCAAGUUUGGCUUUUAGGAAGUCUUUAACAUGCUUGGGGAGGAGAAUACUUAUCUCUGGCGCACAUUAUUAUAUUUGCCUGCCUCUGACAGUGCUGAAUUCUUUGCUGACAUUGCCCUGACUCCUAUGGAAGCUGCUAAGGUUCAAAUUCAAACCCAGCCAGGUUAUGGCAACACUUUCAGGGAUGCAGCGCCCAAAACGUGUAAAGAAGAAGGCCUAAAAGCAUUCUACAAGGGGGUUGCUCCUCUCUGGAUGAGACAGAUACCAUACACCAUGAUGAAGUUUGCCUGCUUUGAACCUACUGUUGAAGCACCGUACAAGUUUAUGGUUCCCAAGCCCCGCAGUGAGUGUUCAAAGCCAGAGCAGCUGGCUGUAACAUUUGUAGCAGGUUACACAGCUGGAGUCUUUUGUGCAGUUGUUUCUCUCACUGCUGAUUCUGUGGUAUCUGUGUUGAAUAAAGAAAAAGGUAGCAGUGCUUCUCAGGUCCUCGAGAGACUUGGAUUUAAAGGUGUACGGAAGAGACUGUUUGCCGGUAUCAUCAUGAUUGGUACUCUGACUGCAUUACAGUGGUUUAUCUACGACUCCGUGAAGGUCUACUUCAGGCUCCCUUGCCCUCCUCCACCUGAGAUGCCAGAGCCUCUGAAGAAGCAGCUUGGGUUAACUCAGUAGAUAGAUCAAAGCAAAUGUGGACUGAAUCUGCUUGUUGAUCAGUGUUGAAGAAAGUGCAAAAGGAAAUUUUAUAUAUUUGACAGUGUAGGAAAUUGUCUAUUGCCUAUUCCUGAUAUAAUUACUGUAGUACUCUUGCUUAAGGCAAGAGUUUCAAAUUUACUGUUAAAAUAAACCAACUCUUUAUGAAAAAAAAA